rnacentral:ncRNA from 1 species
UUAAAGCUAUAGAAGAGAAGAGUAGCGAUGUGGGGAGAAAAAAGCGAGAGAGCGUUGGUGUGAGGCUCUCAUGAAACCUUAUUGUGAAAGACAUCUCGGAAGUGUCACCUUGAAAUGAGUAGGGGUGAACGGUUAUCCUCCGUUAUAGGGACCUAAGAAUAAAUAGGAUGGCACCGUGAAACCUUCACUCCUUUGGACGUGAGGGUUUUUCUAUUUAAACCAAGGGUGGUACCGCGUUAAUUCGCCCCUUGA